CCUACGGGCGGCUGCAGUCGAGAAUCAUUCACAAUGGGGGAAACCCUGAUGGUGCGACGCCGCGUGGGGGAAUGAAGGUCUUCGGAUUGUAAACCCCUGUCAUGUGGGAGCAAAUUAAAAAGAUAGUACCACAAGAGGAAGAGACGGCUAACCCGGUCCCAGCAGCCGCGGUAAUACAGAGGUCUCAAGCGUUGUUCGGAAUCACUGGGCGUAAAGGGUGCGUAGGCGGUUUCGUAAGUCGUGUGUGAAAGGCGCGGGCUCAACCCGCGGACGGCACAUGAUACUGCGGGACUAGAGUAAUGGAGGGGGAACCGGAAUUCUCGGUGUAGCAGUGAAAUGCGUAGAUAUCGAGAGGAACACUCGUGGCGAAGGCGGGUUCCUGGACAUUAACUGACGCUGAGGCACGAAGGCCAGGGGAGCGAAAGGGAUUAGAUACCCUUGUAGUC
rnacentral:rRNA from 1 species